CCCAGUCGUCUCGUCGUGGAUGAGCUCGCCGUCCGUCCCGACGCAAUCAAAUACGUACGUACGUACUGCUGCCUAUAGGAAGCUAAAUGGUAAGCUUGACUUAUACUAGUAUCUCUUAUACUACUGCUGCCGGUGCUGCUGCUGCUGCUGGUUGGGGAUGUCAUCUUGGAGCCCGGCAAUGGCUUCCGGCAAGUGAUCUCUAGGCUCCAAAGGGGAUCCCCACGUCUGUCCGUCUGUCCUUCUGAUGAUAAAACUCAAUGGCUCGACCUCGUCGGAGCGAGGGAAGCCAUUGUCGUCCCACUAAUUGUUCCGCCGGCCGAUCGGUCGGUGUGAUCCUUGGAACUCCGAUGAUCUGUAUCCAUCCAUGUGUUUGCCUCUGGGGCUAAGACAAGAGAGAGAGUGCCUCCGCUCCAGCGUGUACCAUUUGACAUUGGUUGAUGGAGAGGAGCAUAUUAUUUCACCUUCAUCCUCUGUUGCUGCUGCCUGCUUAUCCUUGAGGGAAGAUGUGUCUAACGUUAUGUGUACAGUGAUCGAUCGAUCGAUCAACGGUGAGUCUUUUGUUGCUGUUGAUGUGGUAGUUUCUUUCUUGUGUCAGCUACGGGUUGGGUUGGAUUGGAUGGUGCUCUCUCAGCUCACUCUCGUCCAAUCCGUGCAUGUGAAAAAUACACCUGUCUAUCUAUCUAUCUAUCUAUCUAUCCUGUGUGGUGAUGAUAUAUGCUUCUAGUCCAGUCCAGACCAGUAGUAGUCUAGUCUAGGCUAGCAGUAUAAAUUCUCCUCUAACUUUUUUUGUAUCUUUCUCUCCUUUUCUGGUUGAUGUACUCUGAUCUGAUGAUCCUUAUGUAUACACAUGUUUGGACUUUGGACUGCGAGUGCUGUAACGCGUGUACUGUGCUUGGUUGAUCCAUCCAUUCCGGUUUUUUUUCAUCCACAUGGGUGUCGGUGAAGAAUGUGGUACUGGUAAAAGUAGAUGAUGCCAACAUUUCGAACCAAUUAUGUUGGAUAUGCAAGGUUUUUAUUUCUUUGAUUCUCAAAUACUAAAUGGAGAGUACCACGGUACUCUUGUCGUAGGGCUUUGGUUCGGGGCGAUGAUGAUGGCUGUUUUGUCCAUUGCUCCUGGCGCCACGUGGCGUCGUCACCUGCGUGCCUCCACGCGAAAUUUGGGCAGCUAGCUAAUUCUGUGGCGGGUAUACUUGGGUGGAACGGUGGUCUGUCGGCGACCGGAAAGUGACGUGUUGCGUCCCGUUGCGUGCCCCCGUUGCAACGCGAAUGGACCGGACCGUGUCACUUCCCCCUCCCUUCCUUGUGGUUGUUGCCUUGUAGGAGUAGUAGCUGUUGUGAUCUGAUCACGCUGCUGCUGGGGCUGUGGCUGGUGUGGGUGAAUGUGACAUUAUUCUGCAGUGAGCGCGUGCGUGCAUGCAAGUCAUUCUUGCACGCAGGAGGGCCGUGCGUGCUUUGCCAAUGGCGUGCUGCAGCUACCCAUUUCGGGCGCUCAGUCGUGCGGGAGAGGGCGCCUCGUACGGGAUGGGAAUAGGAUCCUCUCGAGGCAGAGAGGGACAAAUGGCUGGAGCAGUGUCCAAAACAGCACCGCAACAUCUGUGUUGCAUUUUUCUGCUGGGAGUUGCAGCAUUGCCUGGCUGAUGAUGAAAAAAGAGAGGCGUGGCAUCAUCUCCGGGGCGGCGAAGGGCCGAGGGCAAGGAACGGAGGGAGGCUGCUGCUGGCUUUCUCGUGCGCUUUAAAGUCACGGAGCGCAGCGCAGCGGUUGAAAACAUUGACGCUCGCGAGCAAAGGUGGCGCAAGUCUCCUGAAAAAGACAAACGGGUCCUGCUGCGCUGCCACGUGUUCUCAUUUACUGCCGCUCUGCAUUGUAUAUCCGCCCCGGCCACGGCGCGGCGGUGGCAUCCAUCCGCGGCAGCCGGCCGGCCUCGAUCGCGGCGUGCAAAGUCAAGGCUUGGCGCACCACGUCCAACGGACAAAGCGCGGCGUUUUUUGGAGUUCCCCCGGCGGGCGGGCGGGCGGGCGGCCUCGUUCCCUUUCGGCUUCUCCCCCGUCCACUCCAACCACCUUUGCUUCGGGUUUCCUUUCCUUUCCUUCUACUGCUGCUAUACUGGCUGCUACUCCUGUCACUGCCCCGCCGGUCGGUGUCACUCGUCGCUCGCUCGCCCGCCGUGUCCAUCUCUUCCAAUUGUUUCUUCUCGGACGGACGGACCGGCGCCGGUGUGGGGAUUAAAUUGGCAAAAAGAUCUACUAUUAGACAUGGAUGGUAAUUAUUUUCCUCUCUUCUUUUCUGGUGCUUCAUCCAUCUCCAUCCAUGCGCCAGAAAUACCACACCUCAAUUCUGCUCCGCUCACACCUAGGUUAGACAUUGUAUAGAGGUUACGUCAAUCAAUUCAGAAGGAGUGCUAAUAAAUUAUCCAAAUAAUUAUUGUUACUCUUGUGUCUUUCUAGGCGCAUGAUUAACCGGGGCAGAAAGGCCGAGAUAUUAUCCGGGAGGUGCGUGUUGCCGGCUUGGCGGUACCAGGCACGAACAGUGCUAAAACAGUAAUGCCAUGUGUUCCGCUCCGGGCGGUACAAUUAUGCACGUCGGAAGGUCGUACCGAAUCCAAAUAUUUCUGCGAGAAAUAAUCCUGGCCCGUUCGAUUUUUUGGCUGGCUUGCUGGCCGGUACUCGUGGCCUCCGGCUGGCCAUGUGUAAAACGCUCUUUGCUUGGACGAACCUAACACUCCGCCAGGCUCAUUUAUGUGCGUCUGUACGUGGUACGUACUGGAGCCGGCGACGUCUAAUUAAGCGGCUCCGGCGGACAAAUCUUCCCCUUAUCUCCAGACCUGGACAACCGGGAAACCGACGCUCGGAUGAAUAGUGAGCCGUACGAUCUAUCUACCACUUGCUGCCAGUAACAUUCACUCCUACUACUCCCUUCAUUCCACAAUGUAGUGCUUUCUCUAUCCAUGUGUUUCAACUUUGACCGUAAAUUUAACUACCAAGACCGAUUGCGGCGGGAGCAAAUUUUUUUCUUCCGCCCCAGUUGGUCUCGUUGGUUAAAUUUAUGGUCAAAGUUAGACCUCGGAAAGUGCGGGCGCACUAUAUUUUAAAAUGGAGGGAGUACUAGUUAAGAGCGAAUUUUCACUUCCUUUUUGAUAAAAGGGGUCUCUCACUUUCCCCAGACCCACUUGUCCUAGAACGAGGCAGCAGCCCUCACAGGUUCGCCUCUUCGACGAUGCAGCAGCAGUAGGCAUCACAACAUGAGGGUGGGCUGCUUUCUGCUAAAAUCCUUCCCUGAUGCAACAACUUGCCAACAUGCAUCUUCAUCUGUCCAAACCUUGCCCUGGAAGGGCAACUCUAACUGAUUCCCUAAAAGUUUAUGGAGGAUCCAAUGGAGUAAAGUUGGCGGAGGAAAAAUUUACUCCACUAACUGUGGCCGCACAUAGCCGCAUGAACUCUAUAUUUAGUGGAGUAAAAACAAAAUUGUGUAGCUUUUUUUAUCCUAGUCGCAUGAACUUCACACACUAAAUAAUAUAUAUCAUAAAAACAUUCAAUUUAAACAUGCAUAAUAUAACCGCUAUAACUGUUGACGCUCGAUAAUGGCAUGAUCGCAAAGAGUGACUUGAACCUGUAGCAAUAAGUCAAAAUUUUGGUUGUAAGUCAUUAUUGGAUGGCUCUCUUCGAGAAGAUCAAGAUGGAUACAAAGAUAGUCCAAAACGGAGCUCAGAUGCAAGAAGUACGGCAAUUUCAGAAAUGCCCGUGUUGACAUCAGAUUAUGAUAUGUCCUGAAAUGUAAUUAAGAUCACCUAGGAUGGAAAAAAAUUCAACAUGAAAGUUCUUCAUCUCGUCGAAACGGAUGAAGUUGAUAUAUAAAUCGUCUUAAUCCAAGGUCAUUUGCAAAAGUACGAGCCAAAACAGUGCAAUGUUGCAAAAACUAUGGACAUGGCCGGACGUCCAAACCUCCUGUUGUGACCGGACUGUCCGGAAAUUAGGACCAGACUGCCGGUCAGGCUCGUCAAAAUCAUCCAAACCUUCUAUUAUGACCGGACAGUCCGGUCCAGAUCGAAACUGGAGUUUUUUACGAAUCUGAUCAGUAUAAGGGCGAUUCGGCCUUGAAGAUGACCUCGAAUCAAAAAAACAUUCAACAUAAAAGUUGUUUGCCUUGUCGAAAUGGUCAAAUUUCCUUUUGGGCUCAUCUUCAUCCGAGGUUGUUUGUGGCCUGUGCGACCCAAAAACCGAACUGUUGUUUCAGACUUGCCUAAAUCCGAGUUCGGUUAAUUUUGGAAAGAUUUGGAUUUGGAGUCCUUUUCUUGUAGGGAAGUCCAGCCGCCUCAUAAAUAGAUGAGAGGUGAUGGCCGAUUGAAAAACAAUACACAAUCAACAAAAUCACCUACCACUUUUUACCUUUAUUUUUAUCUCUCUCCCUUGUUCUUCUUCUCCCUCAUUCUUCGUUCAUUUUUCUUGUUGCAGGGCGGCGAACCUCGAGGCCCUAUGGGCUAUCGGGUCGACCUAGGGAAGCCCAUAGCCGCCGCGCACCCUGACGGGGUCCCUCCCGGGCGUGUGAGGUUUCGGGUCUACAAAAGCGCCCGCCGGAUUGCUUGUGUAUCGCGCUUCCGGCCGGGUCUCCUUCAACGUGAGCUGCCGUGCAUCACCCCCGGCGUCGAGGGUAUACGGUGACAUGUUCAUGUGCGAACACACUUUUUGGUGACUCCGCUGGGAACGAAGCUUCGAACGGUCUCCGGCCUGUUCUUGCUACGAAGAGAUCGUCAUCAAAUUGCUGCAAUCCACAAAGGUAAUAUGAGUACCCAAUUCUCCUUUGUAGAUGCAAAUAAUCCAUAUGUUGUUGCUAGAUCGCCUAAUGAGCAUAAUGUAUCGGCUAGCCCUAGUUUUAUUAAUCAUGCAUUUAAUUAUGUGCAAGAGCCGAUGCAACAAAAUCUCCAUGCUUCUACCUCAUAUAAUUUUAGCAACAUGCAACAUAUGUAUUCCAAUUCCCAUGCAUCGGCAACCCCACAAACUCAUAUGCCGAUGAACAACAUGAUGAGUUUGGUUAAUCAAGUUGAAAUGCCCCAUGUAGAAACUUUCAAUGUCAUGCAACAUAGUGUUUCACCUUUUUAUUCGUAGGCGACUAAUUUGCAACAUGUUAAUCCAAACAUGCCGACGGAUAGGGGAAUUGGCCAAUUACUCUCAACCGUCAUGUUAGUAAUUUUUCAGCACCAUACGGAACUAUAGAUGAUCAUAAUUCGGCUCCACACCUUCAUGGUUAUAGCCAAAUAAGUGAAAAUUUUGCUGGAGUGCACAUGCCAUCAUCUAAUUUUGCACAUGCCAUAAAAGGGGGUUGUUUCCUGAUUAUGCUGCUGUAGGAUCUAGAAGUAGAUGUGUCUAGAGGGGGGUGAUUAGACACAUAAUUCUCAAGUUGCAAUUUUUAAGCUUUUUCGGUUUAAGUGGAGUUUAGGCACAAUUUCAACACACACAAUACAUAUCAAGCAAGCAUGCAAAGAGUAUAUGAGCAGUGGGAUGUAAAGCAUGCAACUUGCAAGAAUGUAAAGGGAAGGGUUUGGAGAGAUCAAACGCAAUUGGAGACACGGAUGUUUUUCCCGUGGUUCGGAUAGGUGGUGCUAUCCUACAUCCACGUUGAUGGAGACUUCAACCCACGAAGGGUAACGGUUGCGCGAGUCCACACAGGGCUCCACCCAAGGGUAACGGUUGCGCGAGUCCACACAGGGCUCCACCCACGAAGGGUCCACGAAGAAGCAACCACCCACAAAGGGUCCACGAAGAAGCAACCUUGUCUAUCCCACCAUGGCCAUCGCCCACACAGGACUUGCCUCACUAGCGGUAGAUCUUCACGAAGUAGGCGAUCUCCUUGCCCUUACAAACUCCUUGAUUCAACUCCACAAUCUUGUCGGAGGCUCCCAAGUGACACCUAGCCAAUCUAGGAGACACCACUCUCCAAGAAGUAACAAAUGGUGUGUAGGUAAUGAACUCCUUGCUCUUGUGCUUCAAAUGAUAGUCUCCCCAACACUCAACUCUCUCUCAUAGGAUUUGGAUUUGGUGGAAAGAAGAUUUGAGUGGAAAGCAACUUGGGAAAGGCUAGAGAUCAAGAUUCAUAUGGUAGGAAUGGAAUAUCUUGGUCUCAACACAUGAGUAGGUGGUUCUCUCUCAAAACAUAUGAGUUGGAAUGGUGUAUGCGUUCUGAUGGCUCUCUCCUUGAAUGAAGAGGAGGUGGAGGGGUAUAUAUAGCCUCCACACAAAAUCCAACCAUUACACACAGUUUUCCAAUCUCGGUGGGACCGAAUCAAUAAACCCGGUCGGACCGAAAAUGUAAACCUAGUGACCGUUAGAGAUUUUCGGUGGGACUGACAUGCAACUCGGUAGGACCAAUAUGGUUAGGGUUUGGGCAUAACGUAAUCUCGGUGAGACCGAUUACACAAACUCGGUGAGACCGAAUUUGGUAAUUAGCUAAUCAGAGAGUUGGUCAGGCAAACUCGAUGGGACCGAUUUGCUCUUUCGGUGAGACCGAGUGGAACUCGGUGAGACCGAAAAGUUACAAAGGGGAAACACUAAGUUUACAUUGCAAUCUCGGUGGGACCGAUUCGCUCUUUCGGUGAGACCGAAAAGUUACAAAAGGGAAACAGAGAGUUUGCAAUCCCAUCUCGGUGAGACCGAGAUCCCUAUCGGUAGGACCGAAUUGCUAGGGUUUGGCAGUGGCUAAUGACAAGUGAAUCUCGGUGGCGCCGGAUAGGAAGAAUCGGUAGGACCGAGUUUGGCUUAGGGUUUAGGUCAUAUGUGGAUAUGGGAAAGUAGUUGAGGGUUUUGGAGCAUAUCAUUAAGCACAUGAAGCAAGAGGCUCAUUAAGCAACACCUCAUCCCUCCUUGCUAGUAUUGGCUUUUCCUAUGGACUCAAUGUGAUCUUGGAUCACUAAAAUGUAAAAUGAAGAGUCUUGAGCUUGAAGCUUUAGCCAAUCCUUUGUCCUUAGCAUCUUGAAGGAGCUCCCACAACCUUUAGUCCAUGCCACUCCAUUGUUGAACUUAUCUGAAACAUGCUAGAUAGAAAUGUUAGUCCAACAAGAGAUAUGUUGUCAUCAAUUAUCAAAACCACCUAGGGAGCACUUGUUCUUUCAAUCUCCCCCUUUUUGGUAAUUGAUGGCAACAUACAUCAAAGCUUUAGAUAAAGAUAUAAAGAACAACAAGUAAAGCUUUGGAAGGACAUGUAACGAGCAUAGGCUCCCCCUACAUGUAUGCACCCAUGUAAAUAUGAAAUAUAGAGGCAUGUGAGAGCAUAACCAUGACAGAGUAGGCAAUGUGUUACAUGCAUCUUGGCCAUAUGCAUCAGAGCAAAAGAUUAUCAAGGAAAAUACCUUCAUGCUCAUGAGUCCUUCUUGCAAACAGUAUGUACAUAAGCAAGAACUCCUCAUACUCAUGAUUUUGAUGCAUAUACUUACCUUGUGGUCUUGAGUUGGCUUAGGAUGGAAUGGACCUGCACAAACAAGGUUAGAUAACACAGGUACGUCCACUAGCCAGAGCAAACAAAAGAAACCACAAGAAUACCAAGACUGGGAUGACAUGUAGAGAGUGAGUACAAGGUACCACAUUGAAUUCAACAUGUCCCCAAGAAUAAAGAUAUGCAAUGAAUUUGACUAAUUUUUUUUCCUUAGGUGUCUUGCUCCCCCUGAAUCGUACAUGGGAUAUUGGGAGAAGAUAGGAAACAGAAAAUCAGAGCUGAAAGAUAUGAGUAGAACUUAAUUCAAAUGAGUUCAUAUGAACAUGUCUUUCCCCCAAAAAGACAUGUGGCAUCUCUCCUCUUGAACAUCAAGCAUCUGGGAUCCUUGAGUAUUCUCUCCCCCUUGGAGAUUUCUUUCUCCCCCUUAAUAUAUGGGAUCCUUGAGUAUUCUCUCCCCCUUAGUACUUUCUCCUUUGUAGGUGAUAAGCUUUUGAUGUGAUCUCUCUCUCCCUGAUGAUAAGCUUUGAUGUGAUCUCUCUCUUCCCCUUUGACAUCAAUUUCCAAGAAGGUUUUUCCUGGAAUCCGUCGAAUAGGUUUGGUCCUUGAGAUUCAGUACAAAGCAGGGAAUAAAACUGUGAUGCUUGUAGAGGACAAGAUUCAUUGAGUGGAGCUGGAUCAGAAGAAAUAUAGAAUAUGUGGCAAACUGUUUUUCCUGUUGCGAAAUCGGUGGCACCUAGUGGCAUGUUUCGGUAGUACCGAAGGGAUUCGGUUGGACCGAAAAUGGCAAUUCGGUGAAACCGAGUUCAUCACAGAGAAAAACACUUGUCACCUCAGCUCACUAGUCAAGUAAGAUCUCACAAAGAUUUGCAAUGAAUUUGAUGCAGAAAUAUGCAGAACAAGAACCAAAAAAAAGAAAAGAGUGAAAGUUUCUAGAUGAAGUUUUUGUUUUUGUUUUGUUUGAAAAAGAAGGGAACAAAUAUGCAAGGGACAAAUGCAAUAACUCAGAAAAGAACACAAGAGAACUUCAUCUAGAAUUGGGCGGUGACAUAGUCACCUAUGUUAGAGUAUAUUGACUUAGGAGUCAAGUGAGAACACUUGAUCAUAGGUCAUACUCAUCGUUUAAGCUCAAAAUGGGGUUACCAUUUUUCGUUUAAGCAUCUUGAUGUAUUCACAUCUUGUUGAGUUGCUUUGACUCAUGUCUUGGAGUAAAGCUUCUCUAAGAUGGAAUAACAUACCUUGGGUGGUGGUGUGGUUCUUGCUCAUGUAGUUGAACUUGUGUGGGUGCUCAAGGUUGAUGUAGUUCAUCAAGAGUUGGGAGCACCACUUGGAGUUUGAGUUCAUCUACCUACAUGGGUUAGUUCUUGCAAGGAAGAGCACUUGUGUAUCCAAAAAUGACAAUCAUGAAGCUUAACAUAGAAUUUGUCAAAGGAUAUGUUUGAGUGGUUUUGUGCUUCCCUGUCUUCAACCACUAUUGUGUAGAGUCUUGGUGAUGUAGAGAUUGCUCAAUAUAUGAGUGAGUCGCAAUCUCAUGGAAUUAGAUUCAACCAAGCACCUACAUGGGUUAGACAACAUGCAAGGUGCAAAUAUAUCCAAGACAUAAGAUAGUUAUCAUAAGAGAUAUAUCAUGGAUUAGUCAUAAGCUCAUGUCUUGCAUGUAUCCAAUGGAGUUUCUACUCCAAGUUCGAAGCAUCAAUGAUGUUCAAUUCUCCUCUCAACCUGCAAAACACUUUCUCAUCAAGUGGUUUAGUAAAUAUAUCCGCUAAUUGCUUGUCGGUGCGAACAUGCUUAAGAUUGAUGUCACCCUUAGCAACAUGAUCUCGAAUGAAAUGAUGACGAACUUCAAUAUGCUUAGUUCGAGAAUGUUGUACAAGAUUAUGACCAAUUUUGAUAGCACUUUCAUUGUCACAAAGCAGUGGAACAUGUUUCACAUAAAUCCCAUAAUCUUUAAGAGUUUGGGUCAUCCAAAGUAAUUGAGCGCAACAUGAACCAGCGGCAAUGUAUUCCGCUUCGGUGGUGGAUAAGGAUACCGAGUUUUGUUUCUUGGAAGACCAAGACACAAGAGAUCUGCCAAGAAAUUGACAAGUACCCGAAGUGGACUUUCUAUCAACCUUGUCUCCGGCAUAAUCCGAGUCAGAAUAGCCAACAAGAUCAAAAGAAGACCUCUUAGGAUACCAAAUGCCAAAAUUUGGUGUAUGGAUUAAAUAUAUCACUAUCCUUUUCACAGCCUUAAGAUGACAAUCUUUAGGAGCAGCUUGAUAUCGUGCACACAUGCACACACUUAGCAUAAUAUCGGGACGUGAAGCACAUAGGUAUAACAAUGAACCAAUCAUAGAGCGAUAAACCUUUUGAUCAACAGGUUCACCAUCUUUGGUCAAAUCAUUAUGUCCACUAGUAGGCAUGGGUGUAGACAUACCUUUGCAUUCUUGCAUAUUGAACUUCUUGAAUAAGUCCUUGGUGUACUUUGUUUGAGAGACAAAUGUACCUUCCUUAGUUUGCUUGAUUUGCAAACCAAGGAAGAAUUUGAGUUCACUCAUCAUAGACAUCUCAAACUUCUCUGACAUUAGCUUUCCAAACUUUUCACUAAAGAGAGGGUUAGUUGAACCAAAUAUGAUAUCAUCAACAUAAAUUUGGCAUACAAAUAGUUCUCCAUUAACCCUUUUAGUAAAAAGAGUAGAAUCAAUUUUACCAAUUUCAAAACCACUUGUAGUAAGGAACUUGGUCAAGCAUUUAUACCAUGCUCUAGGAGCUUGUUUACGACCAUAAAGAGCUUUGUGAAGUUUGUAAACAUGAUUUGGUUUCUUAGGAUUGACAAAGCCGGGAGGUUGUUUAACAUAAACUUCCUCCUCUAUUUCACCAUUUAGAAAAGCACUUUUAAUGUCCAUUUGGUACAAGGUGAUAUUAUGGUGAUUAGCAUAGGCAAGUAAGAUGCGAAUGUACUCAAGUCUAGCAAUGGGAGCAUACGUCUCACCAUAGUCCAUACCUUUGACUUGUGUGUACCCUUGGGCGACGAGACAUGCUUUGUUGCGAACCACUUGUCCAUCUUCAUCUUGCUUGUUGCGAAACACCCAUUUGGUACCAAUGAUGUUGUGGUUGUUGUCGGGCUUCUCAACCAAUGUCCAAACUUGGUUUCUCUCAAAAUUAUGUAGCUCUUCAUGCAUAGCGUUUAUCCAAUCCGGAUCUUCCAAUGCUUCUUCAACCUUCAUUGGUUCAAUGCUAGAGAUGAAUGAAUAGUUUUCACAAAAGUUAGCUAAACGAGUUUUUGAGCGAGUGAUUCUCCAGGUUUGUAUAUCAUUGAGGAUUUGCUCGACGGGAUGAUCUUUGGCAAUUCUUGCUCAAAUUCGUGAGAGCUUUUGCUUGGGUCUUCGUUGAACAUCUUCUCCAUCUUGUUCUUCUUCUUGGCCUUCUUCAUUGUUGACGUCGUCGUUCUCUUCUCGUGGUGGAGAAGGAGGUUGUUGAUGUUCAUCUUGACAUACUUCCUCGUUUUCUUCAUCUUGGUGUGUCCCACUUGUGGAUGCUUCCGUGUCAAUUCUUGGUUCACCUUGUCAUGAAGUAGAAGCUUCCACUUGGACGGAUGAAGUACUCUCCUUCACCUCCGUUGGACGAAUUUUGCCGAUGGACAAGUCUUGAAUUGCUUCUGAAGAGUCUUUGUCUCCUACAUCAAUUGGCAAUUGCUCUACUUGCGAACCAUUAGAUUCAUCAAACUUCACAUCUACCGUCUCUUCAACCUUUCGGGUGAAAUUGUUGUAGACAUGGUAAGUGUGAGAGUUUGAGCCAUAACCAAGUAGAAAACCUUCAUGAGUUUUAGGAGCAAACUUUGAACGAUGCUGCUUAUCAAGAAUGUAGCACUUUGAGCCGAAUACUCGAAAGUAUCCAACUUGGGGUUUGUUACCGGUGAGAAGCUCAUAUGCUCUCUCUUCGAAUGAAGAGGAGGUGGAGGGGUAUAUAUGGCCUCCACACAAAAUCCAACCGUUACACACAGUUUUCCAAUCUCGGUGGGACCGAAUCAAUAAACUCGGUCGGACCGAAAAUGUAAACCUAGUGACCGUUAGAGAUUUUCGGUGGGACUGACAUGCAACUCGGUAGGACCGAUAUGGUUAGGGUUUGGGCAUAACGUAAUCUCGGUGAGACCGAUUACACAAACUCGGUGAGACCGAAUUUGGUAAUUAGCUAACCAGAGAGUUGGUCAGGCAAACUCGGUGGGACCGAUUUGCUCUUUCGGUGAGACCGAGUGGAACUCGGUGAGACCGAAAAGUUACAAAGGGGAAACACUGAGUUUACAUUGCAAUCUCGGUGGGACCGUUUCGCUCUUUCGGUGAGACCGAAAAGUUACGAAAGGGAAACAGAGAGUUUGCAAUCCCAUCUCGGUGAGACCGAGAUCCCUAUCGGUAGGACCGAAUUGCUAGGGUUUGGCAGUGGCUAAUGACAAGCGAAUCUCGGUGGCGCCGGAUAGGAAGAAUCGGUAGGACCGAGUUUGGCUUAGGGUUUAGGUCAUAUGUGGAUAUGGGAAAGUAGUUGAGGGUUUUGGAGCAUAUCAUUAAGCACAUGAAGCAAGAGGCUCAUUAAGCAACACCUCAUCCCUCCUUGAUUGUAUUGGCUUUUCCUAUGGACUCAAUGUGAUCUUGGAUCACUAAAAUGUAAAAUGAAGAGUCUUGAGCUUGAAGCUUUAGCCAAUCCUUUGUCCUUAGCAUCUUGAAGGAGUUCCCACAACCUUUUGUCCAUGCCACUCCAUUGUUGAACUUAUCUGAAACAUGCUAGAUAUAAAUGUUAGUCCAACAAGAGAUAUGUUGUCAUCAAUUAUCAAAACCACCUAGGGAGCACUUGUGCUUUCAGCUGCAAUAAAGGCUAGAGUUUUGCAAGAAGAUGAAACUUCAUCAAUUGAUAGAGUUGGCGAGAGAGCAUAUAGUUAUACAACAGUGCAUACACCUCCACCUAGUACCGCAUCAUAUUAUGCAUCCCCUACACAGUUGCAAAAUUUCGACAACACUAAGAGUUCAUUGCCGAAAGAUCUUAAAAGCAUUGAGGGGCAAACUGAUCUAGAGUGGGCUGAAAUUGAGAGGGGAGUUAAAGCUUUGCGCGGUAGGGUGCAAGUACUUCACCAAGAGAGAACUGAUAGGGAAUUGGCUCAAAGAAAAGAAGCAUUGCCAAUUGAUAUAACCGGUGAAAAGAAUAAUGAUUUAGGAGCUAAAAGUGCUUUGGUUGAAAAAGCCGAAUCAAGUAGUAUAUAUUUCUAAUUCAUCAAAUCCAAAGAGGCAAGCAUCACUGAGAAAGGGCAUGGCAAGCAUAGGAAAACAAUAGUGCUUGAUUUUUUUAAGUUAAUGGAACCUACUUCCUGCCAUAUUAGUUUCGUGCCGUAGAAAUUGACAACCCUCAAGGACAAGAGCAAGUAGCCUAACAAAGUUCGGCUGACAAGGAUCUUUAAAGUAAUGAUGCAUGGAAUCAACAAAAAGAUGAUGAUAAGGCGUUGGGGAGCCAUCCAAAGAUGGAGCAAGAUAUUGUUCAAGUCACACCACCAGCAUGCUCUCCCAACAUAUUUGAAGAGGUAUGCCUAGCAAGUAAUUUACCAAUUUUCUAAUUUGGUCGCAACUUCAUAGUUGAUGCAUCUACUAGAAAAAUUCUCAUAAGUAAUUUUGAAAGACCAAUGAAGAGGUGUAAUUUACUUGUUAGUAAUAAAAAUUUUCUAGAGAAUAUCGGUCAACCCAUUGUGCCAUUUAUAAAGACCGAUAGUGAAUUAUUAUUGCAGCCAAGGCUUUCGCCAUUGCUUUAUCUAAAGUUCAAGUCAAAUUGGGUAGCUUUGCUUAUUUCUUACUUGGCUUACACUUGGUAUCAAUUCGGACAUGAAUGUUCUAACUAUCUUUGUUUUAGAAAUUUAAAGCCAAGGUUAAAUUCUAUUGAGAAAUCCCACGCUAAUAUAAUAUCUUAUCCAAAGACAUUGGAGAUAGAGUGUAAAACACAAUGCAUAGCCGAAUGGAAGACUCCAAAUCUGAAUACAAAGCCGUUCUCACAACAAGAUCGGUUCAAGAAUAAGAAGUAUACCUUCAAUUCAAACACGUGUGAUCAAAUAUUUGAUUUUUUGUUGACAAAUAAUUAUAUUAGAAUUCUUGAUCACCAUGUUAAGCCAUCAAUCCAAGGAGUAAUGCAUUGUAGCUUGCAUCAUUCGUUCAAACAUAAUUUCCAAAAUUGCAAUAUGUUUCACCAAAUAGUUAAAUUGGCCAUUGAAAAAGGACGAUUGAAAUUUGUUGAAACACCAAGAGAUGACCGGUCUAAUCCGAAUGGUCCUGAUGGCAAAAACUUUUUGCAUCGGCUUCAUCAAGCCUUCCAUUUAAAGAGAAGGUAAAGACUGCAGGUCACGGGAUCAAGUUUUCAAGUAAAGAAGUUGUUGAAGAGCAAAAUGAACAUAAUCUUGAGGGCGAGAAUUCCAUUAAAGCUACAAUGAAGACGCCAAGGACUGGGGGCAGCAAGCAAAUCCAAUGAUCAAGGAAAGCAAUGCAAAAGAAAACAAAGGCUGAAAUAAGCGCAAGUGUAAGAGAACAACAAUCACCUUUGUUGAACUAUUGAAUAAAUAUCAAAAGAAGAGUGAAGAGAAGAAUGCUUAUCAGCCAAAUCAUGCAAAGAAACCAAGAUCACCCCACGACGCAAAUAUGAGGAUCGGUAUUGGCAAAGUGAGAAUUUUCAUGCAACAUAUUCAUAUCCUUAUUUUGGGCCACCAAUGCCAAUGCUGUGAUGUCUCCCUAUGCUCAUAUAGAUCCAUAUCCAUCAUGGGACAUGUAAGAUACAAGGGCACAUUCUCCAUCUUACUUUAGACCAUCUCACCAAUAUGAUGCAGAUCCGAGAAGAUCAAUAUUUGAACAAUCACAUGUUAAAGACCAUUUCAAUCAUAAGGAGUCAGUACGGAGCUCAAGGAAGAAGAAAGAGCUGGUCUAGCAAGUUUACUGCGUUAAAAGAGAUGGUCAUAAGAGUGCUACUUUAGAUUUGAUCUCAAAUGAAAAAGAGCCAAUUGAAGUGUUGACAUUGGUUACUAAAGGCAAUGAGAUAAAGCAACCAAUUAUUGAGAGUCAAAGUGCCAAAUCUGAAGAAAAGAAGUUGAGAGUGCACAAGGCCAAGAAAGAAUUGCCAUUGGUCAAAACAGAAACACAACCGAGAUGCCCACUCAGCUUAUUGUAUUGGCAAAAGAAGGAAUUGCAAAAUCUUAGUGCACAAGAUCUGAGAAAGAAGAACAUGGCAUGGGUUCCCAAGAGGAUCAAUCAAAACAAAAAUGAUGUGCAUGCUUCUGUUGCAACAACACUAUUGCAGGAUGCUGCUAAUGCAACACUACAAUCAGAGACGCUUCGAUGAAACUGCGUGCAAUGCAUUAAUCGCAACAAUGAUGUAAAAAACAAUAAAAAAGAUGCAGAACAUUUGUCAUGGUGUAUACAUCAAACACGGUUCAGAUUUUAGAUGCGUGUGUGAUGCGGGGCAUAUGGCUGAUACAUAUGAAUUGUUUGCGAUGAGAUAGAACAACAGAAAUGGGCAGCCAUAUCAAGGUGUGUGUGAUAUACGGCAUACAGUUCACCGAAAUAAACUGUUCGUGAUUGAUACGUCCAUUUUGCAUCAUGUUUUCUUACAGCUAUUUAUGAUGUUUUUAUCCAUAAUAAUGCUUUUUGGAGUAAUUCUAAUGCCUUUUCUCUGAUAAUAUGCAAGGUAUACACAAAGAGGGAGAAUUCCGGCAGCUGGAAAUCUAGACCUAGAAAACCUACGCCAGGCCACCUAUUCUGCACAACUCCAAACAUGCUGAAACUUCACGGAGAUUUUUUAUGGAUUAUUUGAGGAAUAUUGAAGCAAAUAACUACCAGAGGGGGCCCACCAGGUGGGCACAACCCACCUGGGCACGCCAGGGAGCCCAAACGCGCCCUAGUGGGUUGUGCUCACCCAGGCCCACCUCCGGUGCCCAUCUUCUGGUAUAUAAGUCAUUUUGACCUAGAAAAAAAAGAGAGAAAUUUCGGGAUGGAGCGCCGCCGUCUCGAGGUGAAACUUGGGCAGGAGCACUUUUGCCCUCUGGCGGAGCGAUUCCGCCUGGGGAACUUCCCUCUCGGAGGGGGAAAUCAUCGUCAUCAUUGAGGGAGUCCUGGAUUAGGGGGUCCUCAGACAGCCGGACUAUAUACUUUGGCCAGACUGUUGGACUAUGAAGAUACAAGAUUGAAGGCUUCGUCCCGUGUCCGGGUGGGACUCUGAUGACCCACAAGUAUAGGAGAUCAAUCGUAGUCCUUUUGAUAAGUAAGAGUGUCGAACCCAAUGAGGAGCAGAAGGAAAUGUUAAGCGGUUUUCAGCAAGGUAUUCUCUGCAAGCACUGAAAUUAUAGCUAAUAGAUAGUUUUGUGAUAAGAUAAUUUGUAAAGAGCAAGAAGUAACAAAAGUAAAUAAAGUGCAGCAAGGUGGCCCAAUCCCAUUUGUAGCAAAGGACAAGCCUGUACAAAUUCUUUUAUAGAGAAAAGCGCUCCCGAGGACACAUGGGGAUAUCCUCAAGCUAGUUUUCAUCACGUUCAUAUGAUUCGCGUUCGGUACUUUGAUAAUUUGGUAUGUGGGUGGACCGGUGCUUGGGUACUGUCCUUACUUGGACAAGCAUCCCACUUAUGAUUAACCUCUAUUGCAAGCAUCCGCAACUACAACAAAAGUGUUAAGGUAAACCUAACCAUAGCAUGAAACAUAUGGAUCCAAAUCAGCCCCUUACGAAGCAACGCAUAAACUAGUGUUUAAGCUUCUGUCACUCUAGCAACCUAUCAUCUACUUAUUACUUCCCAAUGCCUUCCUCUAGGCCCAAAUAAUGGUGAAGUGUCAUGUAGUCGACGUUCACAUAACACCACUAGAGGAGAGACAACAUACAUCUCAUCAAAAUAUCGAACGAAUACCAAAUUCACAUGACUACUAAUAGCAAGACUUCUCCCAUGUCCUCAGGAACAAACGUAACUACUCACAAAGCAUAUUCAUGUUCAUAAUCAGAGGGGUAUUAAUAUGCAUAUAGGAUAUGAACAUAUGAUCUUCCACCAAAUAAACCAACUAGCAUCAACUACAAGGAGUAAUUAACACUACUAGCAACCCACAGGUACCAAUCUCAGACUUGGAGACAAGAAUUGGAUACAAGAGAUGAACUAGGGUUUGAGAGGAGAUGGUGCUGGUGAAGUUGUUAAUGGAGAUUGACCCCCCUCCCGAUGAGAGGAUCGUUGGUGAUGACGAUGGCGAUGAUUUCCCCCUCCCGGAGGGAAGUUUCCCCGGCAGAACAGCUCCGCCGGAGCCCUAGAUUGAUUCCGCCUCGUGGCAACGGAGUCUCGUCCCGAAAGCUUGCUUAUGAUUUUUUCCUCAUAGAAAGACUCCAUAUAGCAGAAGAUGGGCAUUAGAGGGCCACCAGGGGGCCCACGAGGUAGGGGGCGCACCCAGGGGGUUAGGGCGCGCCCCCCACCCUCGUGGGCAGGGUGUGGCCCUCCUCUGGAACUUCUUGCGCUCAGUAUUUUUUAUGUAUUCUGAAAAUGACUUCCGUGAAGUUUCAGGACUUUUGGAGCUGUGCAGAAUAGGUCUCUAAUAUUUGCUCCUUUUCCAACCCAGAAUCCCAGCUGUCGGCAUUCUCCCUCUUUAUGUAAACCUUGUAAAAUAAGAGAAUAGGCAUAAGUAUUGUGACAUAAUGUGUAAUAACAGCCCAUAAUGCAAUAAAUAUCGUUAUAAAAGCAUGACGCAAAAUGGACGUAUCAACUCCCCCAAGCUUAGACCUCGCUUGUCCUCAAGCGAAAGCCAAAAUCGAAAAAUAUGUCCACAUGUUUAGAGAUAGAGGUGUCGAUAAAAAUAAAAUAUGGACAUGAGGGCAUCAUGAUCAUUCUUAGAAUAGCAACUUAUAUAAUUCUUGUCAUAUGAUCUAUGAUGUUAGAGUAACAAUUCAAUCACAAUUUCAAGUAUGAAUCAUAAACUUCAUUGAAAAUAACAAACUAUAAUCUCAGUCAUUGGAGCAAUUGCAAUUUACCAUAACAUAGGAAAGAGUCAAUAUAAGAGCUUUUCAUCAAGUCCACAUACUCAACUAUCAUAUAGUCUUUCACAAUUGCUAACACUCACGCAAUACUUAUUAGUAUGGAGUUUUAAGCGGACACAGAGAAAGAUAGGGGCUUAUAGUUUUGCCUCCCAACGUUUUACCUCAAGGGUAAUGUCAACAAUAAUAGUUCAUGAAAACUCACAUCCAAUUAGCCAUAUAUACCAGGAUCUUUCCAACAUGUUGUGCUUGCCAAAAGAUAAAAUGUAUAAAGGAAGGGUGAAGAUCACCAUGACUCUUAUGCAAGGUGGGAGAUAAAAGUAAAAGAUAGGCCCUUCGCAGAGGGAAGCAGAGGUUGUCAUGCGCUUUUAUGGUUGGAUGCACAAAAUCUUAAUGCGAAAGAACGUCACUUUAUAUUGCCACUUGUGAUGUGGACCUUUAUUAUGCAGUUUGUCACUUUUAUUUCUUCCAUAUCACACGAUCGUCUAAAGCUUAUUUUCUCCCACACUAAUAAGUCAUACAUAUUUAGAGAGUAAUUUUAUUGCUUGCAUUGAUAACAACUUACUUGGAGGAUCUAACUCAAUCCAUAGGUAGGUAUGGUGGACUCUCAUGGCAAAACUGGUUUAAGGGUGUUUGGAAGCACAAGUAGUAUCUCUACUUGGUGCAAAGAAUUUGGCUUGCAUGAGGGGGAAAGGCAAGCUCAAUCAUGUUGGAUGAUCCAUGACAAUAUAAUUUGUCUCGGAUGUAAGUAAACAUAACCCAUUACGUUGUCUUCCUUGUCCAACGUCAACUCUUUAGCAUGUCAUAUUUUAAUGAGUGCUCACAAUCAUAAAAGAUGUCCAACAUAGUAUAUUUAUAUGUGAAGACCUCCCUUUCUUUAUUACUUCUUAUUAAUUGCAACGAUGACCAAAACUAUGUUUGUCAACUCUCAACAACUUUUAUUCAUCAUACUCUUUCUAUGUGAGCUCAUUACUCUCCAUAAGAUCCAUAUAAUCUCUUUUAUUUCUUUUUAUUCCUUCUAUUUUCUUUAUUCACUCAAGAUCAUGGCAAAAUAAGCAAGCCCUUGACUCAACACUAAUCUUUCUUAUAUAUAGCUCACGGACUCAAUUACAUAGAAGGAUCAUAAAGCAAAACUCACAACUAGAUCAUACUAAGAACUUUUAUUCUACUAUAUCAAAAUAUUAUCAAAAGGAUCGAACUAAGAAAAGCAGUAAAGAUAAAAGUGAUGGUGAUACAAUACCGGGUGAAAGAUCAUGGAUGUCGCCUAGAGGGGGGGUGAAUAGGCGCUUUAAAAUAAUUAUGGUUUAGGCUUGAACAAAUGCGGAAUAAACCUAGCGGUUAAUUUGCCAAGCAUAAAACCUAAAACAACUAGGCUCACCUAUGUGCACCAACAACUUAUGCUAAGCAAGAUAAGCAACUAUGAGAUAGCAAGAUAUAUGACAAAGAACAAUGUGGCUAUCACAAAGUAAAGUGCAUAAGUAAAGGGCUCGGGUAAGAGAUAACCGAGGCACGAGGAGACGACGAUGUAUCCCGAAGUUCACACCCUUGUGGAUGCUAAUCUCCGUUUGGAGCGGUGUGGAGGCACAAUGCUCCCCAAGAAGCCACUAGGGCCACCGUAAUCUCCUCACGCUCUCGCACAAUGCAAGAUGCCGUGAUUCCACUAAGGGACCCUUGAGGGCGGUCACCAAACCCGUACAAAUGGCAACCCUUGGGGGCGGUCACCGAACCCGUACACUUUGGCAACCCUUGGGGGCGGUCACCGGUACCCGUCAAAUUGCUCGGGGCGAUCUCCACAACCUAAUUGGAGACCCCGAUGCUUACCCGGAGCUUUGCACCACAAUGAUUGAGCUCCGAACACCAACAACCGUCUAGGGCGCCCAAGCACCCAAGAGGAACAAGCUCAAGGGUACCAAGCACCCAAGAGUAAUAAGCUUCUCAACUUGUAACUUCCACGUAUCACGUGGAGAACUCAAACCGAUGCACCAAAUGCAAUGGCAAGGGCACAUGGAGUGCCCAAGUCCUUCUCUCUCAAAUCCCACCGAAGCAACUAAUGCUAGGGAGGAAAAUGAGAGGAAGAACAAGAAAGAGAACACCAAGAACUCCAAGAUAUAGAUCCAAGGGGUUCCCCUCACAUAGAGGAGAAAGUGAUUGGUGGAAAUGUGGAUCUAGAUCUCCUCUCUCUUUUCCCUCAAAAACUAGCAAGAAUCCAUGGAGGUAUUGAGAGUUAGCAAGCUCGAAGAAGGUCAACAAUGGGGGAAGAACACGAGCUCAAAAGAUAAGGUUCAAAGGGGAAGAAGAGCCCCUUUUAUAGGAGGGGGAAAAUCCAACCGUUAUCCCCCACUCAGCCCCGCAGAGAGCGGUACUACCGCUCCAUGAGCGGUACUACCGCUCAGGAGGAAGAAACAGGGAAAGGAGCAACAAAACAUGAACCUUGGGACGGUAGUACCGUAGGAGACAGCGGUACUACCGCACCCUUUGGCGGUACUGCCGCGCAGAACGAAGGGUAAAAGGAAAGAGGGAAUCAGGCGGUACUACCGCGGAGGAAGGGCGGUACUGCCGCGGCGAGGUACCGCACAAUCCGACACAGAAAAAGACCCCUCGAAUCGACGUGGUAGGGACCUGGUAAGCCAACGGUAGUACUGCUGCGGAGUCACCGCCGGUACUACCGCUGUAGAGCAAUACUGCCGCUUGUGACUCCUCAGCGGUACUACCGCUGGGCACCAUGGUACUACCGCUGGGACCCUGACAAAAACCACACUCAAGAAAACCAGAACUGCCAUAACUUCUGCAUAUGAGCUCCGAAUUGAGCAAACUCAAGCUUGUUGGAAACAAGACGACGAGUAGCAUCAAAACAGCGGAGGUAUGCCAACAAAUAGAGGAGAGAAACCUCCAACCGAGAAGAACCGGCAAAACCUCCAACAUCGAAAACAUCAUAGAAGAUGCAUGCGAACUCUGUUUUCGAUGAACUCAAGCUUGUCAUCAAGAUGACCAUAAGCUCUAAGACUCACAAAGAGAACCAAACAAGAACCAAGAAAGAUGAUGCAAGGAUGCAAUGGUUUGAGCUCUCUAUGAACGAUAUGAUCAAGCUACUCAUUGAGAGCCCCCCUUGAUAGUACGACAAUCGAUCCUAUAACCCGGUCUCCCAACUACCAUCAUGAGACCGGUAAAAUAGAAAACCUACCAAGGGCAAACCUUUGCCUUGCACAUGGUCCAUUUGAGCUAGAUGAUGACGAUCUUGACUCCCUCAAGUUGGACCACCUUUCUUGAUUGGGUUGACUCGAUGAAGACUAGUUGAUUGCUCCCCCAUACUCCACUAUGGGUGAGCCACUCUUCCGCACAUCUUCACAAGUCCAUUGUCACCACAAAGGACGGCAAGCUUCAAGCAUUUGAUCUCUUCGUGAUGCUCCACUUGAACUCGCACACCGCAACCUAACCCCACAAAGAACCCUCACGAAGACCAUGGGUUAGUACACAAAGCGUAAUUGGCAAUGCUUACCAUACCAUGGGAUCACUUGAUCCCUCUCGGUACAUCUUCUACGCUUUGUGGGUUGAUCAUCUUGAUUCACUCUUUGACUUAGUCUUGAUCAACCUCUCACAAGACCAAUCUUUAGGUAAUUCCUUGAAUAGCACCUUGGUCGACACAAACUCUCCUUGAACCCAACACAUGUACUCCAAGAAAAGCCUAUGGACAAAACCUUCAAAUAUAACUCAAUGCAACCAUUAGUCCAUAGAGAUUGUCAUCAAUUACCAAAACCAAACAUGGGGGCACCGCAUGUUCUUUCACCGGGGCACUCCCCCAAGCUUGGAAGUUGCCAAGGGGAGUUCCCAUACCAGAUACUCAAUUCUUCUUUGUUGGUGGAGAGGGUGGAGUUGUUGAUGACGUAGGCUUCUUCCUUAAUUUGUGCUUGAGGACAGAAUUUUGAUCCCUUAGGGCAUCGAUCUCCUGCUCAAGACUUAAUAUCUUCUUGCAUAAUUCUUGUUUGUUUUCAUGUCCCCAGGUUGAGGUAAUGGGAUUUCAUCUUCAUCUGAACUCGUCUCCUCCUUUCCCCUGGGUUCAUAGUCCUCUUCUUCUUAGUCCAACCGCAAUACUCCACAUCCCCAUAGACCUUAGGAUCUGCAAGAUAAUCAACCACAUAAAUUUCUCCUUCCGAAUCCUGGGACGACAUAUUGCUCUAAUCUGUAGCAGGAAUAGCUUGAAACAAGAACAUGAGAUUUUUGUGUGAUACGGGAGUUAAAACCUUCGGGAGAUUAUAUAAUGAAUUUUUACUGACCAAAGUACGUAACGUGCAAGAAAAUGAAGUCCGGAGAACACAUGAGGUGCCCACGAGGUAGGGGGCGCGCCCAGGGGGGUAGGGCGCGCCCUCCACCCUCGUGGAGCCUUCGUGUCCUUCCCGGACUGCUUCUUAUUUUUCUAUUUUUCUAAAUAUUCCAAAAUGGAAGAAAAUUACCAUUAGAACUGUUUUUGAGUCGGUUUACUUACCGUACCACAUACCUAUUCCUUUUUGGAGUCUGAAAUGUUCCGGAAAGUGUCCCUUAUGUAUUCCUCCGGGGUUAUGGUUUCAAUAACAUUGGUUUCAACAUUUAUAGGAUUACCUAAGAUAUAACGUUUGAUUCUUUGACCGUUCACCACCUUCGGAUUUGUGCCUUCGAAGUUGUUGAUUUUUAUGGCACCGGAACAAUAGACUUCCUCGAUAACGUAAGGACCUUCCCAUUUAGAGAGAAGUUUCUUGCAAAAAAUCUUAAACGAGAGUUGUAUAGCAAUACAUAAUCACCCACAUUAAACUCACGCUUUUGUAUCCUUUUGUCAUGCCAUCUUUUAACUUUUCUUUAAACAAUUUGGCAUUCUCAUAGGCUUGGGUUCUCCAUUCAUCAAGUGAGCUAAUGUCAAAUAACCUCUUCUCACCGCAAGUUUGAAAUCGUAAUUGAGUUCUUUAAUAGCCCAAUAAGCCUUAUGUUCUAGUCGUGACAUGCUUUUCCAUAAACCAUUUUAUACGGAGACAUACCCAUAGGAUUUUUAUAUGCAGUUCUAUAGGCCCAUAAUGCGUCAACAAGUUUCUUGGACCAAUUCUCUCUAGAUCUAUUAACAGUAUUGUAACAUCCCAAAUUUUCAAUUUGGAAUGUUAUACAUUAGAUCAUCAUUUCAUAUCAUAUUUUAUUGCUUUUCUGGUUGAUCCUAGAAAUUCUACGCAACUCAAGGACCCUCGGAGAGAGUUGGGGAUUUCGUUAUUUUCAUAUUUGAGUUUUUCUCAAACUUUGAAAAUAGGAUCAUUUGAUUUUAUUUAUUUUAUCUUCAAUUAUUUCUAUUAUCAAAAUAUGAGAGAGGAAAUAAAAUGACUUUCCCAAAAUAAAGAAAUAUUGAGGAUUAAUAAAAAAAUCAAAUAAGAUUUUAUUUUGGUUUUAUUUGCUAUUUUAUUUGAAUUUAGGAAAAAAUGCACGUUUUCAAAAAUUGCAUUUAGAGCCAAAAAAAUGUUCAUCCUGUUCUAAAUAUUUUAUUUAGAUGGAGAAAUUUUGUUUUGGCAUUUUUAGAUUUUUAUUAAUUUUUUUCUAGAUUUUUUUAGGGGAAGCGAAAUUGUUAAAAAAAGAAGAAAAAACCCGUGCCCGACUGGGCCAAGGGCCCAGCCGAGCAGGCGGGCCCAGCCAGCCACCGCCGCCUCCAGCCGGAUCAGGACCGGAGUCCCGAUCGCCGCCGCCGUGUCCGGGGAGGACACGCCUCUCGAGGCCGACCCCUCCCCCAAGUCGACCUCCCCCGCCCCUUUAUAACCGCCGCCGCCCCCUGCAACCCCACACCGCCACCCCGCGACCUGCACCGCUGCCGCCGCCGCACGCCGCCUGCCACCUCCCGAAGCCGCCGCCGUGCCGCUUGCCGCGCCCCNNNNNNNNNNNNNNNNNNNNNNNNNNNNNNNNNNNNNNNNNNNNNNNNNNNNNNNNNNNNNNNNNNNNNNNNNNNNNNNNNNNNNNNNNNNNNNNNNNNNNNNNNNNNNNNNNNNNNNNNNNNNNNNNNNNNNNNNNNNNNNNNNNNNNNNNNNNNNNNNNNNNNNNNNNNNNNNNNNNNNNNNNNNNNNNNNNNNNNNNNNNNNNNNNNNNNNNNNNNNNNNNNNNNNNNNNNNNNNNNNNNNNNNNNNNNNNNNNNNNNNNNNNNNNNNNNNNNNNNNNNNNNNNNNNNNNNNNNNNNNNNNNNNNNNNNNNNNNNNNNNNNNNNNNNNNNNNNNNNNNNNNNNNNNNNNNNNNNNNNNNNNNNNNNNNNNNNNNNNNNNNNNNNNNNNNNNNNNNNNNNNNNNNNNNNNNNNNNNNNNNNNNNNNNNNNNNNNNNNNNNNNNNNNNNNNNNNNNNNNNNNNNNNNNNNNNNNNNNNNNNNNNNNNNNNNNNNNGCGCCACCACCGCUGCCGCCGAGGUAGCCGUCGGCAGGUUUUUGAGAAAAAAACCGAUUCGGUUUUUUUUUGAAAACCCUAGUUUCUUUUUUUUAAAAUAAAUAGAUCGGUUUUUUCCGGUUUAUUUAUUUAGCGAGCGCCCGUUCGUCCGUUCGUUUUAACGAACACAUUUUUCAUUUAGUUUCUUUUAACGAACGUUUGUUCGUUAACUGUUCGUCAUUUUUCUUUUUCUCGGAUUAAAUCCGUGGUUUUUCUGAUCGCUAUCUUUGAUCCGAUGUUCGUUCUAGUUUAUCUUUUCGCUCUUUUUUCGGAAUCAGGCGAUUCAAGCGCCUGGAGUUUCGUCUGGAAACCCUCUUUCUGUUUAACCAACUCAAACAAGUUUUUGCCGUUGUAAAAAUGGCCUUAGAUCCAGAAUAGUAAACAAAGCUUGUUUCUUUUGCCGUUUGUCUUUCCUAGCUCAUUUUGAUUCUUUUUGCCAACCGAAAUUCUUAAGUUGAACUUUCUAGUUAGAUCGUUUGUUCGAGUUUUACCUGUGCAUUAGUUGAGUACUUAUUGUGUGCUUGUUUGUUUGCGAUAGAGUACCCGGAGUGCGCCACUUGCUACUUCGAAUCGCUAGGUUAUCCGGAUCAUCAGCAAGGCAAGUAACACUUUGAUCAUACCUCCUACUAUCCAGUUUUAUUGCAUUAGAUCAAUCCUCACACAUUGCCUGGUUAGGAUCUAAUUAAAUUGUGGGUUUGGGUAGUAGUUGAGGUAGAACCUAUUACCUGUUUAUUAUCAAACCUUUGGGAGUUACUCUACAUUUGCUUAUUAUUGCUAUGCUAUGCUAGUAGACGUGGAUUGGGUGAGUGUAUCCAUGACAGUUGUGAGCUUUGUUAAUUAAUGGUUUAUUUAAGGUGGCAACCUAAACACACAUCUGGGUGGAUUGAGGCACCUGGGUAUUCCAACGAUUGCCUAUUUUCUUUUGGACCGCCACCCAGGCUCAAAGGGAUCAUGAGCUUUUUCAUACUAGAAACUUCCAUGUGCAGCCACAAGCUACUAUGGGCUCUAGCAUAGUUGACUAAGUCAUGCAAACUCUUACAGUGGUAGACUAGCAGAUGUAGGUGAUGUAGGUUGGUACGGUCUACCCGUUCGUAAGGUGCUAGCGCUUCUGAAAGACUAUGUCUCGGUCAUCCGUUUCUCAAAUACCAUGCAGUGCGAGAAAAACCAACAGAGGAGAUCGAGUCUUGUGGGAAAAGUGCGCAAACCUCUGCAGAGUGUAUAAACUAAUCAUGGUUAGCCGUGUCCCCGGUUAUGGACAUCUUGAGUAUCUAGUACCUGGAUUAUCAUGUGAAUCUCAUCAUGUUACUCUAAUUAAUUUUUGUUGGGUUUUUAAUGAUGAUGCUUAAUUGGGAUUGAGAAUGCUGUCAACCAUUCUCAAUGUUUAACAACUACCAUGAUAGUUAAAUAAAAUUUAUUCCUUUGCAGUUGGGAAAAAUUGGUUUUACGCAAAACUAUAACCAUAGAGCUCUCCACCAGCCAUAUAUGUAUAGAAUAGCCAUAUUCUUGUAUUACUCUAUAUGUGUUACUUUGCCAGCAUAUUCCAUGUGCUGACCCGUUUCGGGCUGCAACGUUAAUGUUGUAGACUUUUUAGACGAUGAUUAAGGUGCCUUAGGUUGUGGUUCUAUACUUAGUGGUGCCGCUGGAGUUGAUGGACUCACUUAUCUUCCAAGCCUUCCGUUGUUAUCGUUAUUAGAUGGCCUUAAGCCAUAUUUAUUGAAUAAGUUCUCUUUUGAGACACUCAAUAUAAUAAGUGUGUGAUUGCUACUCUGUUAUAAAUCCUUCAAGUACUGUGUGGUGUCAGCAUUACUGAUCCAGGGAUGACACCGGAGCACAGAGAUUGGACCGUUUGAGGUCUGGUCGCUACAAGAUGGUAUCAGAGCACACGCUGACUGUAGGACACGACCACUAAGCUAAAGCCCUAGAUCACUACUUACUCUUCUCCUUCUAACCUCUCAUCUUUUCUACUCCUUUAGGAUGGCGGAUGCAAGGAACAAGUUCAUACAACCGGAUGAAGAUACACCCUUUGGACGUCACUUGAAGGAAUUCACUAGAUACCUGAACAUAGGAGUACCAAGCUUCACCGAAACCUACAACGCCACAUUAUCUGAAGAAGAGCACUGGAUGAUUCAAGUUCAAGUUCCAGGAAGGACGUUCAUGCCAGUCACUGAGCCCAUAGAGUUUUCUUUUGAUGCACCAACUUGGAGUCUAGGAAAGAGCAUGGCAGCUCUCAUCGCCAUGGGACGCAUUGGAGAAGUUUACUGCAAUGAUCUCAAGGAUACUAUCUACCAGAUUUGUGGGCGCCAAGAUGAGCACUGGGAGAUGAUCAGCACCAGGAAGGAUAGAUCAAUUGCAGCUUUUAUCCAGGAGUUAAACCAGCACAUUCGAUUCGAUGUCAGGAGAACCAGAUGUGCGCAGACCUGAUAGAUCUAAAGAAGGCGAGGACAAGAAUCAAGGAACUGGAGGAAGAACUCAAGGCUACACGUGAAGAUUAUGAAGAGGAAAUCAAAGUGUUAGUGGAAAAGAAUGACGAUCUGAUCAAGAAGAUUGGAAUAUUCAUGGGAGACCCUACACCAGUAGAAGAAGACGAAGAACCCAAGGAGAUUCGCCCGGAAGACUACAUCAUCAUCGACGACACCGACUCGGAUCCAGAUGAUAGCGAUGAUGACAAUGUUGAUGAAGCUGGAGCAGAUAUCAUGUAGUCCACAACCGAAGAGUAUUUCUAGUAGACCACUGAGGGAGUCCUAGAUUAGGGGGUGUCCGGAUGGCCGGACUAUACCUUCAGCCGGACUCCUGGACUAUGAAGGUACAAGAUUGAAGACUUCGUCCCGUGUCCGGAAGGGACUUUCCUUGGCGUGGAAGGCAAGCUUGGCGAUACGGAUAUGCAGAUCUCCUCCCAUUGUAACCGACUUUGUGUAACCCUAACCCUCUCUGGUGUCUAUAUAAACCGGAGGGUUUUAGUCCGUAGGACAACAUACACAACAACAAUCAUACCAUAGGCUAGCUUCUAGGGUUUAGCCUCUCCGAUCUCGUGGUAUAUCUACUCUUGUACUACCCAUAUCAUCAAUAUUAAUCAAGCAGGACGUAGGGUUUUACCUCCAUCGAGAGGGCCCGAACCUAGGUAAAACUUCGUGUCCCUUACCUCCUGUUACCAUUCGGCCUAGACGCACAGUUCGGGACCCUCUACCCGAGAUCCGCCAGUUUUGACACCGACAUUGGUGCUUUCAAUGAGAGUUCCUCUGUGUCGUCGCCGUCAGGCUUGAUGGAUCCUACGAUCAUCGAUAGUGAUGCGGUCCAGGGUGAAACUUGUCUCCCCGGACAGAUCUCUGUCUUCGGCGGCUUUCCACUGCGGGCCAAUUCACUUGGCCAUCUGGAGCAGAUCGAAAGCUAUGCCCCUGGACGCCAGGUCAGAUUUGGAAGUUUAAACUACACGGCUGACAUCCGUGAGGACUUGAUCUUCGACGGAUUCGAGCCACUGCCGAGCGUGCGGCACUGCCACGACGAGCAUGAUCUAGCUCUGCCGCCUAACAGUGCCCUGAAGGCCGCACCCGCAUCGGCUUCGACCCUUAAUUCGGAGCCAACUGCGCCGAUCGAGGAUGGGUGGAUGGACGCCGCCUUGGGGGCUGCGAUCCUAGCGGCGAUCGAGCCGAACACCAGCCCCGCACUCCGCGAGACUCGUGAUUCCAAGGAGCCGGACUCCUCUCCGGACUCCGAACCAUUCGCGCCUCUGCCGAUCGGAUCCGAUUGGGCGCCGAUCAUGGAGUUUACUGUCGCGGACAUCUUUCAGCACUCGCCCUUUGGCGAUAUUAUGAAAUCACUAAAGUCUCUCUCUUUAUCAGGAGAGCCCUGGCCGGACUACGGUCAACGAGAUUGGGAUACGGACGAUGAAGAAAUUCAAAGCCCACCCACCACCCACUUUGUAGCCACUGUCGAUGAUUUAACCGACAUGCUCGACUUCGACUCCGAAGACAUCGACGGUAUGGACGCCGAUGAAGGAGACAAUGAAGAACCAGCGCCUAUUGGGCCCUGGAACGCCACCUCGUCAUAUGACGUAUACAUGGUGGAUGCACCAAAAGAUGACGACGAGGAGCGAAAGGACGCACCGAAGGCUUGUUCCCUUAAAAAGCAGUCAAAGCAGCAACGCAAGAGCCACCCCAAAUCCCGCCUCGACAGAAAUAGCGAUCACACAGACCCAGCGCUGGAGCAGGGCGAACCACUGCCAGACAACGGCAAUCCGGAUAAUCAAACCGAACAAACAAAUCCUAUCAAGGAUAAUGGUCCGGACGACAUAACGCCGGACAGGCACCCGGAGCUGCAGACUGCCUGUAAAAGGCUUGUUGCCACCACGAGGAGUCUGAAAAAGCAGAAGCAAAGGCUCAAGGCCGCGCAAGACACACUCCAAAUCAGAUGGAGUAAAAUACUCAACACAACAGCAAGGUACGGCGACAAUCGCCCCUCCAAGAGCUACCCAAAGCGGAAGCUGCUACCUGAAUUCGAUGAGGAGGCCUCAGACCCCCCACAACCAAAUAUCAAAGCAGCCACCUGGUCGGAUAGACGACCCCUCUACCAAAAUAGAGCGGCAUACAACGCCGCUCACAAUACAACACGCGACCCAUGCGAGGGCUCGCACCCAAAGGAUGGUGCAACAAGAUCCAUCUAUGGACCACGCAAGCGCGCCCCAACAUACAAUGCAACACAACAAACAUCCGAACAACGCGGUACACCUAGCUACAGGGGUGCCGCACACCCCUAUGUUUCACCGAUGAGGUGCUGGACCAUGAAUUUCCAGAGGGAUUCAAGCCCGUAAACAUAGAGGCAUACGACGGACCAACAGACCCUGAGGUCUGGAUUGAGGACUACAUCCUCCAUAUCCAUAUGGCUCGAGGAGAUGAUCUCCACGCCAUCAAGUACUUACCCCUCAAGCUCAAAGGGCCAGCUCGUCACUGGCUCAAAGGCCUCCCCGAAAGCUCCAUUGGAAGUUGGGAAGAGCUCGAAGACGCCUUUCAGGCAAAUUUUCAAGGUACUUAUGUCCGACCUCCGGAUGCGGACGAUUUGAGUCAUAUAACUCAACAGCCCGGAGAGUCAGCCCGAAAGCUUUGGAACAGGUUUCUUACUAAAAAGAACCAGAUUGUCGACUGUCCGGACGCCGAAGCCUUGGCAGCUUUCAAGCAUAGCGUCCGUGACGAAUGGCUCGCUAGACACCUCGGCCAAAAUAAGCCGAGAACGAUGGCCGCAUUAACAAACCUCAUGACCCGCUUUUGCACGGGUGAGGACAGCUGGCUAGCCAGAUGCAGCACCAGCGACCCCAGUACAUCUGAAGUUAGAGAUGGAAAUAGGAAAUCACGGCGCAACAGCAAUAACAAACGCCGGAAUAAAGAAGACAACACGAAGGGCACAACAGUAAAUGCCGGAUUCAAAAGCUCUCGGCCAGGUCAAAAGCCACCCCGUAAAGGCACGAGGGACGAACUGUCCAGCCUCAACAAAAUUCUGGACCAAGUAUGUCAGAUCCGUAGUACCCCUGGUAAACCUGCUAAUCAUACCCACAGAGAAUGUUGGGUCUUCAAGCAGUCCGGCAAGCUCAACGCCGUACAUAAGGGGGAGGAUACACCAAGUGAAGACGAGGACGAGCCUCCCAAGCAAGAGACGACAGAACAAAAGAAAUUUCCACCAGAAGUCAAAACAGUAAACGUGUUACACAUGAUCAAGGGAAAAAACAACACGACACUCCCAGGAAAAUAUACCCAAGUGCCUGUCACCGUGAAGUCCUGCCACUGGUCGUCUCAACCAAUCACUUUCGACCAUCGCGAUUACUCAGCAAAUAUCCGACACGCAGGAUGGACUGCCCUGGUAUUAGACCCAGUAAUUGGCGGAUAUCACUUCACACGAGUCUUGAUGGACGGCGGCAGCAACCUAAAUUUAAUAUAUCAGGAUACAAUCCGCGGGAUGGGGUUAGACCCAACACAAAUUCGCCAUAGCAAUAAUACCUUUAAAGGAGUAAUGCCAGGCCCAGGGGCUCGUUGUACGGGCUCCCUCCUACUAUAGGUUAUAUUCGGCUCCCCCGAUAACUUCUAUCACGAGCAUUUAACCUUCCACAUCGCUCUGUUUCAAAGUGGCUAUCAAGCACUGCUCGGACGCGAAGCUUUCGCUCGCUUUAAUGCAAUACCACACUACGCCUCCCUCACACUAAAGAUGCCUGGUCCACGUGGCAUCAUUUCAGUGAACAGAAAUAUCAAGCGAUCUCUGCGCGCCGAAGAGAGUGCGGCUGCCUUGGCAGCCGCACACUAAAGGCGCCCGGACCAGUGAAAGCAUCCAAAUAGGUUGUCAAGACCUCAGACACAACUAAUCAAGUCCGGCGCCGCUAUUUAUACCGAAUAAGUGGUCACACCCCUAUUUGUCAAUACAAGGGGCUCAACGCGCGCAGACAAGUGGCAAUUUCUUAUCAUCUUGAAUUAUACAUGGUUUCUUUAAAAACUAUCUUUUUGCACGACAACUUUUUCACUUAACUUCCUCUCUUUUGCAGACGAUCAUCGUGCUACACCCAUCCAGGAUACGACACAACAGAGACACAGGCGCAGACGUGCAGCAGGGACCCGCUCCAAGGAUUCUUUUUAGAUUAAGACCCUGCGUAAACCUUUUUUACUGUCUCUUGUUGAUACAUAUCCACCGUUGAGAAGGAUGCUGACGUCUUGGCAUGUGGCCACGCCAGAACAAUGCAUGUACCUGGACACAAGGGGCUUCUUACAAAGGCCAUUAUUUAGGCCCAGUUUAUACCACAAAGACCGAAAACCUUAGGGAGUGUUCGGCGUCGCAAGUUUGGCCCUAUAUGCAUCAGCUCCGAAUCAUUGUCUUUGGUCAAAUGUUGGGUUUGCCCGGGUCCUGUGUUUUGUUGCCUUACGUUCCGCUUUACCGGCUAAGGUAGCACUAGGAGAACUACUGUGAUUGUGCCCUGGUUCAUCCGGACGAGCACCUCAGUAGAGAAAGCCGAAAACUGACUGUCAUGAUAUAGCGUGAGACUGGUCAACCACUCGAUGACCUGUGGGAAUGUUAGAAUUCCUCCGCCUUAACGAAGGGCCGUUUUUCGGCCAGGCAUGUACGCACCCCAGAAUCGGGAGAGUGCGGAGCCACCAGGGGCUAUCUAGUAGCCCCACUGUCAAACUCCUAUAGCUAAGUGAAAGUGCUAAAGCAUUAUAGUCCGGUUGCCUCGCUCGCUCCGCUAUCACCUCCUUAAUAGGACCAAGACAUUGGGUUAAGUGUGAACGCGUGUUUUUGCGAGCACCUCCGCAUUAUAUGUGUGGGGGUUGAAGCUGACGACUAUAAUCUUUUAGGUUAUACACAUGUAUACAUAAACGGCCACCCAGGAGGCAUCAUAUUACUUUCAGGCAAAAGUAUAAAAAUAGCCUUAUAAAAAUUUAUAAAAGCAUUUCGCUUACAAUGAGAUUACAUAUCACUCAAACAUAAUAUUUUUUGAGCACUGGGUCUCUAUCAAACGGGCACCCUCAAGAACUUCUUCAAAGUAGUGCUUAGCAGCCUUUCGACCUAUAGCCGAAUCCCGCGCUGCAACAUUGGUAGCAUCCAUCUCCGCCCAGUAUGCCUUAACACGGGCAAAGGCCAUCCGUGCGCCCUCUAUGCACGCUGACCUCUUCAUCGCAUUAAUGCGCGGCACCACAUCAAGGAACUACUGCACCAAGAUGAAAUAGCUGUUCAGUUUUGACCUUUCUGGCCAUAGCUGAUCCACAACAGACCUCAUGGAGAGUCCGGACAACCUAUUUAGUUCGGCUCAUUCGGCUAAUUGGUCAGUCAAUGAAAGUGGACGCUCGGGAGAAUGAAAUUGUCUCCAAAACAGCUGGUCUACUUCAUGGUCCGUCUGACCCUGGAAGUACUUGGCCGCAUCGGCAGCGCUCGCCGCCAAAUCCAUAUACACAUCCUCAGAACUCCAUAGCUGAUCCAGAGGGGCAUACCGUGGAUCUCCGAACUUCCUCCGCAACAUAAAGGAUUUCCCAGCUACAAUAUCCCCGGCUUCCCGCAGCUCCUCCUUCUUUGCCCUCAUAGCAGAGCGGAGGUCUUUUUUUUCGUCGCAGCAGCCUUUCCAAGGUCCGAUGCCUUCGCUUGGUUUUCCUUUUCAAGAACCCGGCAACGGUCAGCGGUGGCUUUUAAUUCUAUGGCCAUCUUGGCCAUCUUGUCUCGGCUCUCGCCAUGCGCGGCCUUCUUGGCUUGCAACUCUUCGGCCGCCUUCAAAGCAGCCGCAUUACCCAACCUAGCUUGUUCCUUGGCUCGGGCAAGUUCUGCCUGCAAGGCUUCAACAGUGGCAGCUCCAUCUGUAGUCACAACAUAUUAAAGAUGCUGGUAUCAUGCUGCUCUUCCUAUUGUGGCGUUUACCAGAUAAUGACACUUACCCUAUGCGUCGUCAAGCCUUUUGUUAACAAGCUCGAUGCCGGCAUCUGCCGCAUCCAAUUGCCGUUCUAAAUGGGCAAACUCGCUAGUCCGGCUAGCCACCGGAGCUUCCAUCGCCUGCACAUAGAGGCAGUAUGGUUAUUACCUGGGAAUAUGAUCCUCUGUUCGUCGUCGUUUCCGACGACAACCAGAGUCUCAGGGGCUACUAUCUACACAUGGCACACCUAGCAUGUGCAGGACUAUCAUACAUUCUUUCACGUACCUCAAAGCCUGUCAGUAGACUCAUAAAAGCUUCAUGCAAUCCGCUUUCGGCGGACGAUAUUCUCUCCAUCACCGUAUUCAUCAGCACACGGUGUUCAUCUGAGAUGGCUGAUGGGGUUAUGUACCUAGGGUAGGGUCAUGGACCUGAUCUAAGUACCUUAUCCAAGGACACCCUUAGAAGAGGUCGCCUUCCAGUCGACCAACGAGGGACACACUCGACUGACUUGAAGGACUCGACCACGAAGACCCACUCGACCACCAGAAGGUUAAGAGGCACUCUGCACUGCAACGGCCUGUAAUCAAGGGUUCGGCACCUUGUAAUUCAUAUACUCAUAAUCCACUCGACCGCCUCCGGGCUCCGAGACGUAGGGCUGUUACUUCCUCCGAGAAGGGCCUGAACUCGUACAUCCUUUGUGCUUACAACCUCUCCAUAGCUAGGACCUUGCCUCUCCAUACCUACCCCCACUCUACUGUCAGGCUUAGAACCACGACAGUUGGCGCCCACCGUGGGGCCGGUGUUUUAGCGAUUUUGUGGAGAAGUUGCGAUUCUUCCGAGUACUUUCAUCAUGGUGUCUGCUGGAGCUUUGGUCGGGGGUCAAGAGAUCCGUCUCGGCACUCUCACCUUCUUCGCCGAUGACUCCGCGUGGCUCCAUGAUGCUCCGCUCGACGUUGAUGCGCUCCCCGUCCGCGGUGCGACGCAUUUUCGUGCAUAUGUCCGCGGCGUUCUGCUGCGGCAACCGUCGACCCAGUAUCGGUCGGCCCCUCCAUCGUCCACCCUCCCAGUAUCCCGCCAGCGCAAGCGCUCGGGCCGGUCGAGGCUUCAGCGAUGGGUGAGGCACGCGGUGGCUCGCCAAUCGGCCACCACCCAAGUUGCGGCAAUUGAGCCCGACGAACCUCUCUACGGCUUGUUCGAUCUGUCGACUUUCUCCGUAGAGACUGCAUCCGAGUGCGGUAGCAGUGAUCCAGCGGCGGAAAUCUUGAUGGUCGACGGGCCCCACAGUCCCCCUGGCUUCGCCCGUCGUGGUGGAGCAGGUGACGGCGGCGACCCUACACGAGGCUACGAAGAGUACCAGCCCGAGCCACUCGACUCUCUGCAAAGAGAGGAACUUCGCCGCAGGAACGAGGAUCCCCUGCGUAUUCCUAUCGCAGGAGAAACCCCCGAGGCUUGUGCCUUGGAGGAGGCGCGUCUGGCCAAUUUGGCCGAGCGCACUCGACUGGAGAACCUUCAGCGAGCUCUCGACGAGCGCGCGCGGCAACGAGUUCCCGACAACAGUCGACGUCAACUCUUCCCGCCAACUCAGGUAUAUCGAACCCCAAUUCAGAAUUUAGCAGCUGCGACCCGUAUAGCAGAGUCCAUCCAGCCUUCGCAGUCGGAAGCUGGCAGAGGUUUGCUGCAGAUCAGGGAUCUGCUCCGGGCAGCAGGAGAUCAGAAUUCAGCCGUGUCUCAGUCGCGCAACAGAAUUCACAGUUGAUCCGUCACUGUGAAUACGGUUCAGUCGGCUCAUAGCCCCAGAUCGCCUCCGCGGCGUGAAGGGCGCGAGAAUCGGUGAGAUCAAUAUGGCGACAGACUCGACCGAGAUGAUAGGCGUCGAGUGCCCUAUUCCCCUCCGAGGGGUGGGUCUUAUGCUCCUCGGCAGCCAGAUGAUAGGCGUCAGUACAGUACAGGGCGUAGGGUUCCAGUCGACCUCAAAGAACCAGGCUUCAACGCGCGAUCCAUUAUCGUGCAAGGGUUGGUUGACUGGAACAGAGCCCAUCGAGGUGGACUCGACAGAGAUGUACCCACAAGCAGUCGAGUGCAUGUUUCUGGUCCUGAAUGUUUCAGCAGAGCUAUCAGAGCCGCAGUUAUCCCUCCCAAUUUCAGGUUGGCAACAGGAGUCAGCAAGUUCACUGGUGAGUCUAAGCCUGAAACUUGGCUUGAAGACUACCGAGUGGCAGUUCAGAUUGGUGGUGGGAACGACGAGGUGGCCAUGAAGCAUUUGCCCCUCAUGUUGGAAGGUUCUGCCAGGGCAUGGUUGACUCAGUUACCUCCUAGCAGCAUUUACACUUGGGAAGAUCUGUCCCGAGUGUUCGUCAGGACGUUUGAAGGAACUUGCAAACGACCAGCUGGAUUGACAGAGUUGCAAGUCUGCGUGCAGAAAACUAAUGAGACUCUCAGAUAGUAUAUUCAGAGGUGGAUCACUUUGCACCACACUGUGGAGAAUGUGUCCGAUCAUCAGGCAGUCUGCGCCUUCAAAGACGGCGUCAAGAACAGAGAACUGAGUUUGAAGUUUGGUCGAACCGGUGACAUGACCUUGAGUCGGAUGAUGGAGAUUGCUACCAAGUACGCCAACGGCGUAGAAGAAGACCGACUCCGAAGCGGCAAGCACAAGCCGAGUCAGUCGGAAAAAGGAAACACCAGUCGGAAACAGAAGCGGAAGGCUGAACCGGCAGCUCCUGGAGAGGCUCUGGCCGUGACUCAAGGAAAGUUUAAGGGGAAACCAAAAGGAUCCUGGAACCCCAAGAAGGUAAAGGAUAAAGAAGGGAACGACAUGAUGGAUAUGCCAUGUCACAUUCACACGAAGAAAUACGAAGAGGGGAAUAUCAUUUACCCGAAGCACACCACUCGCCAAUGUCGACUCCUGAUCCAGCAGUUUCAAGGAAAACAGUCUAAGGACAAGGAGAAGGAGUCGGACAAGGCCGAAGACAAGGAGGACAGUGAGGAAGGAUAUCCGCAUAUCAACUCCACUGUGAUGAUCUUUGCAGAUGUGGAAAGCAGGAGUCGACUGAAAGUCAUUAACCGAGAGGUGAACAUGGUUGCCCCAGCGAAAGCAAAUUAUCUGAAAUGGUCUCAAACACCCAUCACAUUCGACCAAUCUGAUCACCCGACUCAUAUUGUCACCCCUGGGAGGCAAGCUUUGGUGGUCGAUCCAGUUGUCGAAGGCACUCGACUGACAAAGGUGCUGAUGGAUGGUGGAAGCGGGCUGAAUUUGUUAUAUGCAGACACACUGAAAGGAAUGGGCAUUCUGAUGUCCCGACUGAGCACUAGUAACAUGAGCUUUCAUGGGGUUAUUCCAGGAAAGAAAGCCGAGUCACUCGGCCAAAUAGCCCUGGACGUGGUGUUUGGUGAUUCGAAGCAUUUUCGCAAAGAAAAGUUGACGUUUGAGGUCGUGGAUUUUCACAGUGCAUAUCAUGCCAUUUUGGGGAGACCAGCUUACGUACGGUUCAUGGCUCGACCAUGUUACGUGUACCUCAAAUUGAAGAUGCCCGGCCCCAAAGGAGUGAUCACUGUCACCGGUGAUAGGAAAAAGGCAGAAGAGUGCUUUCAGAAGGGCUCCAAGAUUGCUGAUUCCCAGGUGACAGCGGUCGAGUUCGAGGAAUACAAGCAAAACGCAGAUCCGAGUGACUUGCUGCGAUCAAAGAAACCCGCCACAAAGUCUGCAUUCCAGUCGUCCGGUGAGACGAAGCCUGUCCACAUUCACUCGACCGACCCCGAUGCAGCUCCGAUCCGCAUCUCUACAACACUCGACCCAAAAUAGGAAGAAGCGCUCAUCCAGUUCCUCCGUGAGAACUGGGACAUUUUUGCAUGGAAGCCCGUUGACAUGCCAGGUGUUCCCAGGGGACUGGCUGAGCAUCACCUAAGAGUCGACUCAUCUGCAAAACCAGUCAAAGAGCAUCUUCGGCGGUCCGCCGUCCAGAAGAGAAAAGCCAUUGGCGAAGAAGUGGCUCGACUGUUGGCGGCAGGAUUUAUCCGAGAGAUAUACCACUCCGAGUGGCUCGCUAAUGUCGUCAUGGUCCCCAAGAAAGACAAGUCGCUCCGAAUGUGCAUUGAUUUCAAGCACAUCAACCGGGCCUGCCCGAAAGAUCAUUUUCCUCUCCCUCGCAUAGAUCAAAUUGUUGACUCGACGGCGGGAUGCGAGAGGCUAUCCUUUUUAGAUGCCUACUCCGGGUACCACCAGAUCCGUCUGUACGGACCCGAUGAGGUAAAAAUAGCUUUCAUCACUCCAUUCGGGUGCUUCUGCUAUAUCACCAUGCCAUUUGGCCUCAAGAAUGCCGGAGCCACAUUUAUGCGAAUGAUUCAGAAGUGUCUACUCACUCAAAUCAGUCGGAAUGUGGAAGCGUAUAUGGAUGAUAUUGUUGUCAAAUCACGAAAAGGUUCCGACCUGCUCGUUGAUCUCGCCGAAACAUUUGCCAACCUCAGAAGAUAUGAUAUCAAGCUCAAUCCAUCAAAGUGCACAUUUGGAGUUCCUGGUGGCAAGUUACUCGGUUUUCUCGUUUCCGAACGGGGAAUCGACACUAACCCAGAAAAGAUUGGCACUAUUCUCCGAAUGAAACGCCCUGUGCGAGUGCAUGAUGUCCAGAAGCUUACUGGAUGCUUGGCCGCAUUAAGUCGAUUCAUCUCACGACUCGGUGAAAAGGCAUUGCCUCUUUACCGACUGAUGAAGAAGACAGACAAGUUCGAGUGGACUCCAGAAGCUGAUGCAGCGUUUGCCGAGCUCAAAACUCUGCUCUCCACCCAGCCGGUGCUUGCUGCUCCAAUCAGCAAAGAGCCUCUGUUGCUCUAUAUCGCAGCCACAGGACAAGUCGUCAGUACUGUGCUAACGGUCGAGUGGGAAGAAGAAGGAAAAGCUCUCAAAGUUCAGCGCCCAGUGUAUUAUUUGUCUGAAGUCUUGACUCCAUCCAAGCAGAGAUAUCCUCAUUAUCAGAAGCUUGUGUAUGGAAUAUACAUGACCACAAAGAAGGUUGCUCAUUAUUUCUCUGAUCAUUCCAUCACAGUCGUCAGCGACGCUCCACUAUCAGAGAUUUUGCACAACAGAGAUGCAACUGGUCGAGUGGCCAAAUGGGCGAUUGAACUUCUUCCCCUUGAUAUCAAGUUUGAGGCAAAGAAAGCCAUUAAGUCCCAGGCAAUAGCAGAUUUCCUUGCCGAGUGGAUUGAACAGCAGCAGCCGACUGAAGUUCACUCGGAGCAUUGGACCAUGUUUCUUGAUGGCUCUAAGAUGUUGAAUGGUUCCGGUGCUGGGGUUGUCCUGGUUUCCCCCAGAGGAGAUAAGCUCAGAUAUGUGCUCCAGAUUCACUUUGAUUCCUCCAACAAUGAGGCAGAAUAUGAGGCCCUCUUAUAUGGGUUGCGCAUGGCCAUUUCACUCGGCGUCCGUCGCCUGAUGGUCUAUGGCGACUCGGAUUUAGUGGUCAAUCAGGUGAUGAAAGAGUGGGACGUGAGAAGCCCAGCCAUGACUGGAUACUGCAGUGCAGUGAGGAAGCUGGAAAAGAAGUUCGAGGGGUUGGAGCUCCAUCAUAUACCCCGACCGAAAAAUCAAGCAGCUGAUGAUCUAGCAAAGAUAGGUUCCAAGAGAGAAGCCAUUCCGAGUGGUGUGUUCUUGGAGCAUAUACACACUCCGUCAGUCAAAGAAGAUCCUUUCACCAAAGAAACUCCACAGCCCAAGAGUGCCACAGAUCCGACUGAAGUUGAAGUCCCAGUGGUGGUCGACUUGAUCAUGGAGGUUUUGGUGGUCAUUCCCGACUGGACAGUUCCGUAUGUCGCAUAUAUCCUGAGAAAAGAGCUUCCGGAGGAUGAGGAAGAGGCUCGACAAAUCGUCCGUCGAUCUAAGGCCUUUACCGUAAUCAAAGGACAAUUAUACAGAGAAAGCGCGACUGGAGUCGGCCAGAAGUGCAUAACACCGGAAGAAGGUCGACUCAUCCUCAAUGAUAUUCACUCGGGGACCUGUGGUCAUCAUGCGUCCUCUCGGACCAUCGUGGCCAAAGCAUACCGAGCCGGAUUUUACUGGCCAAAGGCGAAUGAAAUGGCAAAAGAGAUAGUGGAUAAGUGCGAGGGAUGUCAGUUCUACUCGAAUAUGUCGCACAAGCCUGCGUCAGCUCUUAAGACCAUCCCACUCGUCUGGCCUUUCGCGGUAUGGGGACUGGACAUGGUCGGUCCUUUGAGAACAGGACGAAGUGGUUUCACGCAUGUGCUGGUGGCAGUCGACAAGUUCACCAAGUGGAUCGAGGCUAAACCAAUCAAGAGCCUUGACACCGGUACUGCUGUUAGCUUCAUCAAGGAACUAAUAUUCAGAUAUGGAGUUCCGCACAGCAUCAUUACGGAUAAUGGGUCAAACUUUGACUCAGAGGAAUUCAGAGAUUUCUGCAACUCCCAAGGCACGCGGGUCGAUUACGCUUCAGUCGCCCAUCCGCAGUCGAAUGGACAAGCAGAGCGAGCUAAUGGACUGAUUCUUAAGGGAUUGAAACCUCGACUGAUGCGUGAUCUCAAACACGCGGCUGGAGCCUGGGUAGACGAACUUCCCUCAGUGCUUUGGGGGCUGCGGACCACACCUAAUCGGUCGACCGGAAGAACUCCAUUCUUCUUGGUCUACGGAGCUGAAGCAGUCUUGCCGAGUGAUCUUCUCCACAAUGCUCCUCGAGUUGAAAUUUACAACGAAGCAGAGGCUGAACAGGCGCGGCAGGACGCAGUCGACCUUUUAGAAGAAGAAAGGGAGAUGGCUUUGAUCCGCUCGACCAUCUACCAACAAGAUUUGCGUCGUUUCCACGCCAGAAAUGUGAGAGGUCGAGCCUUCCAGGAAGGGGAUUUAGUUCUCCGAGUGGAUCAGCACAAACCACACAAGCUUGCUCCUUCUUGGGAAGGCCCCUUCAUCGUCACCAAGGUUCUCCACAACGGGGCGUACCGUCUUUACAAUGUCGAGCAUAAUAUCGACGAGCCCCGAGCUUGGAACGCAGAACUACUCCGCCCGUUUUACACUUAAGUUUUAUCACUCAGAUGAGUUGCAAUAAAGUACUUCUGUAGUUCAUGGACCUCAAAAUAAUAGUGUCAUAGUUCCUCCAUAAUAUCUGUCACUUUUUAUUUUUGUCCAAUAAAAUUCCCCUCAGUGGGUGACUUAGCUGCGAAUCCGUUUCGCCUAAGUUUGUAAAAAUCCUACCGAGUGGUGAGCCAGACUCCCACUCGGAGGCUUAGCUGCGAAUCCGUUUCGCCUAAGUUAUCAAAAUCCUACCGAGUGGUAAGCCAGCCUUCCACUCGGAGGCUUAGCUGCAGCCCUGUGCUCGCCUAAGUUAUCAAAAUCCUACCGAGUGAAGAGCAACCCUCUCACUCGGGGGCUUAGCUGCAGUCCAAGCACUCGCCUAAGUUAUCAAAAUCCUACCGAGUGAAGAGCAACNNNNNNNNNNNNNNNNNNNNNNNNNNNNNNNNNNNNNNNNNNNNNNNNNNNNNNNNNNNNNNNNNNNNNNNNNNNNNNNNNNNNNNNNNNNNNNNNNNNNNNNNNNNNNNNNNNNNNNNNNNNNNNNNNNNNNNNNNNNNNNNNNNNNNNNNNNNNNNNNNNNNNNNNNNNNNNNNNNNNNNNNNNNNNNNNNNNNNNNNNNNNNNNNNNNNNNNNNNNNNNNNNNNNNNNNNNNNNNNNNNNNNNNNNNNNNNNNNNNNNNNNNNNNNNNNNNNNNNNNNNNNNNNNNNNNNNNNNNNNNNNNNNNNNNNNNNNNNNNNNNNNNNNNNNNNNNNNNNNNNNNNNNNNNNNNNNNNNNNNNNNNNNNNNNNNNNNNNNNNNNNNNNNNNNNNNNNNNNNNNNNNNNNNNNNNNNNNNNNNNNNNNNNNNNNNNNNNNNNNNNNNNNNNNNNNNNNNNNNNNNNNNNNNNNNNNNNNNNNNNNNNNNNNNNNNNNNNNNNNNNNNNNNNNNNNNNNNNNNNNNNNNNNNNNNNNNNNNNNNNNNNNNNNNNNNNNNNNNNNNNNNNNNNNNNNNNNNNNNNNNNNNNNNNNNNNNNNNNNNNNNNNNNNNNNNNNNNNNNNNNNNNNNNNNNNNNNNNNNNNNNNNNNNNNNNNNNNNNNNNNNNNCCUAAGUUAUCAAAAUCCUACCGAGUGUAGAGCAACCCUCUCACUCGGGGGCUUAGCUGCUGUCCAAGCACUCGCCUAAGUUAUCAAAAUCCUACCGAGUGUAGAGCAACCCUCUCACUCGGAGGCUUAGCUGCAGUCCAAGCACUCGCCUAAGUUAUCAAAAUCCUACUGAGUGUAGAGCAACCCUCUCACUCGGGGGCUUAGCUGCAGCCCAGUGCUCGCCUAAGUGGACUGAAGAAUAUGUCGAUUGCAGUAAAGGCGCCUUGCUUUGAACCUGCAAAAGACAUUUCGAGCCAAAGGCAAUCAUAUUCAAGCACCAAAUUCAAGUUUGAAUCGAUAUCUAAAGGAACCGAGAGUGCUCAGGCGUUAAGCCUGUUAAGGUUUAUCGGUUACAAUUCCACUCGGCAUACCGAGGCAAAUUUAAAGCGUCGAGCCAGAAGAAGUUUUUUACCCCUCCUGUGGAGGGCUGGAAGGAGCAACGAAUUCAUCAAGGUCAAUUCCGUCGGCGAUCCGAGUGGCAGCUGCAAGGAAAGUUUCCAUAAAAGACCUGAAGUCGUGUUUCUUGGUAUUGGACACCCGAAGGGCCGCCAGCUUCUCUUCUCGCGCAUCUUUACAGUGGACUCGGGCCAGACACAGAGCAACAUCUGCACCACACCGAGCCGAGGACUUCUUCCAUUCUUGCACUCGACCAGGGAUCGUGUUCAACCGGGCCAUCAGCGACUCAAGGUCAUUCUGAAGUGUCUCCUCAGGCCAAAGCGUCGAGUCGAUGCGAGAUGUGGCGGCCUUCAGCCUUGCGAGAUAGUCCACGACAGCUGCGACACGAGACUCCAGUCGGAAAACAUCCAUGGCAACUUCGUCGUUCACCGGAGAAUUGACAGGGUCGAGGUUUGGCUCCAGCCGGCUAGUUUCUUCUUCAAAGUUUUGACAGAAUUCUGCAAGGAUGAUCACUAAGUCAAGGGGAUGGUCGAAUGGAAAAACCACAAUUGGAAAUGUUUGCCAAGCAUAGAGGUUUACCUUCAAGCAUAAGAAACAGCUUCUUGGCUAGACUACUCAGGAAGGCCUCCAGAUCAGUCUUCUUCCCAGUCAAUUUGCUGACUUGGUCAGUCAGGGCAGCUUUGUCAGUUUUUAGUCGACUGAUCUCCUUGUUGGCGAUCCCAAGAGCAGCUUUCAGAUUGGUAUUGUCUUGUUCAAGCUUGGUGACUGAAGCCAACUUCUCGUCAGCAAGCUUGAUCUUCUCAGCUAGUUCAAGGUCUUUCUUCUGUUGGGCCUCCCUUACCUUACCUGCAAGUUACAGCAAGAUCAGAUUUUGAAACAAGCAAGGGGAAAGCAGUCGUCAGGGUCUCACCAAACAUACCUUCGGUCUCCUCCUUUGCCUUUGUCAGCUUCUCCUGAACCAGCUUCAGGCUCAGCUCGAGUUGAGUAUGCUUGUGUUCCAGCUCAGAGUAGCGAUUCACAAGAUCACAAGAGUUCUGCGAAGAACCAAUCGACUAAAUGUCAAAUAUAAUUCACUUCCGAGUGGAAAAGGAAAAAACACACGUUUCUAAGACUACAGCCGAAUACAAGCAUUCGACCGUAGUCUCGGGGACUACACCCAGUGGGUGCACUCAGCGUGCCCCCACUAAUCCUGUUGAAGACAAAGUCGACCAGUCGACCUCAAAAAAAAAG
rnacentral:lncRNA from 1 species